AUCCUUCUGGUUCAUAAACGUGAUAAAUGAGAGUUCACACGGCUGUGUGACAUGUGCAGUCCCUCUGUUACGACUUGGCACAUUACUCCUCUGAUU